UCGAUUCUUGGCUCAGAUUGAACGCUGGCGGGAUGCUUUACACAUGCAAGUCGAACGGCAGCACGGACUUCGGUCUGGUGGCGAGUGGCGAACGGGUGAGUAAUGUAUCGGAACGUGCCUAGUAGCGGGGAUAACUACGCGAAAGCGUAGCCACACCGCAUACGCCCUUCGGGGGAAAGCGGGGGACCUUUCGGGCCUCGCACUAUUAGAGCGGCCGAUAUCGGAUUAGCUAGUUGGUGGGGUAACGGCUCACUAAGGCGACGAUCCGUAGCUGGUUUGAGAGGACGACCAGCCACACUGGGACUGAGACACGGCCCAGACUCCUACGGGAGGCAGCAGUGGGGAAUUUUGGACAAUGGGGAAACCCUGAUCCAGCCAUCCCGCGUGUGCGAUGAAGGCCUUCGGGUUGUAAAGAAUUUUUGGCAGGAAAGAAACGGCACGGGAUAAUACCCCGUGCAACUGACGGUACCUGCAGAAUAAGCACUACACCAUGCCAGCAGCCGCGGUAAUACGUAGGGUGCAAGUUAAUCGGAAUUACUGGGCGUGAAGCGCAGGCGGUUCGGAAAGAAAGAUGUGAAAUCCUGUGAGCUUAACUUUGGAACUGCAUUUUUAACUACUGAGCUAGAGCGUGUCAGAGGGUGUGAAUUCCGCGUGUAGCAGUGAAAUGCGCAGAUAUGCGGAGGAACACCGGAUGGCGAAGGCAGCCUCCUGGGAUAACACUGACGCUCAUGCACGAAAGCGUGGGGAGCAAACAGGAUUAGAUACUCCUGGUAGUCCACGCCCUAAACGAUGUCAACUAGCCAGCCUUCGGGCCUUGGUAGCGCAGCUAACGCGUGAAGUUGACCGGCUCGGGGAGUACGGUCGCAAGAUUAAAACUCAAAGGAAUUGACGGGGACCCGCACAAGCGGUGGAUGAUGUGGAUUAAUUCGAUGCAACGCGAAAACCUUACCUACCCUUGACAUGUCUGGAAUCCCGAAGAGAUUUGGGAGUGCUCGCAAGAGAACCGGAACACAGGUGCUGCAUGGCUGUCGUCAGCGCUCGUGUCGUGAGAUGUUGGGUUAAGUCCCGAAAAACGAGCGCAACCCUUGUCAUUAGUUGCUACGAAAGGGCACUCUAACGAGACUGCCGGUGACAAACCGGAGGAAGGUGGGGACGACGUCAAGCCUCAUGGCCCUUAUGGGUAGGGGCUUCACACGUCAUACAAUGGUCGGGACAGAGGGUCGCCAACCCGCGAGGGGGAGCUAAUCCCAGAAACCCGAUCGUAGUCCGGAUCGCAGUCUGCAACUCGACUGCGUGAAGUCGGAAUCGCUAGUAAUCGCGGAUCAGCAUGUCGCGGUGAAUACGUUCCCGGUCUUGUACACACCGCCCGUCACACCAUGGGAGUGGGUUUUACCAGAAGUAGUUAGCCUAACCGUAAGGAGUGGGCGAUUACCACGGUAGGAUUCAUGACUGGGGUGAAGUCGUAACAAGGCAG
rnacentral:rRNA from 1 species